UCACAUGACCACUCUCUCUCUCUAUUUUGUUGUUAUUAUUAUUUCGAAAUUGAAUUGGCUCGCUUGUGAUUUUCAUAUUCUUCGUUUUGAUACACAAUUUGUUACUGUAAAAAUCAAUUCUUCUUCUCACGGGUUCACAAGAUCAUUUUCAAGCUUGGGAUUGCAAUAUAGGCCAAUUGUUUUUUGGUAAUUGAGAAUCCAUUGGAAGACCGAGUGAUUCAAGGCUGUCAAACCUUCCUAAUUACAAGGAAGAAUAUAAAGGCAACUAUCUAAAAGACUUGAUCUUAUUCAACCGUCUCAGGGUUAUUGAGUUUUAUUAUUUUUACUUUUAUUUUUUUUUAUUUUUUUAUUUUUUAUUUUCAUUUUUAUUUUUGCUUUUUGCUUUUUAUUUUAUGUUUCUAUUUAUGUUUUCAGAUUUUUGUGUUUAGUUUUUUAUUUUUUAUUUUUUAUUCUAUUUUCUUUUUGUAGCUUAGAUUUUUGUAUUUAUUGUUUUCUCUAUUUCUAUUUCUAUUUUUAGUUUCUAUUUUUAUUUUUAUUUUUUAUUUUUUAAAUUUAUAUUUAUAUUUUUAAUUCUAUUUCUAUUUCUUAUUUUCGGCUGCUAUCCUAUUUUUGUUUUUUUUUUCAAUUUUUAUUUUUACUUUUUGUUUUGUAUUUCAAUUUCUAAUUUAUGUUUAUAAUUUUUAUUUUAUUUUCAGUUUAUAUUUUUAUUUCUGUUUUUUAUUUAUUUUAUGUUUUUCAUUUUAUAUUAUCUUUUCAGUUUCUAUUUCUAUUUUUUAUUUUUUAAUUUUUAGUUUCAGUUUUUAUUUUUUAUUUUAAUUAUCUAUUACUAUUACUAUUUUUAUUUUUAUUUUUUUAUUUUUAAAAUUAUAGAGUUAUAUUUGAAGUCUAUUCUAUUCUUUUCUGUUAGUGAUGUAUUUCUAUUUCUCAUUUUUUUUCUUAUUUUGAAUUUUCUUCUAUUUUGUUUUUAUUUUUAUUUCUUUUUUCCAAUUUUAUUUUUAUUUUUAAUUCUAUUCUAUUUCGAUUCUAUUCUAUUCUUUUUAGUUGAUUCUACUCUAUUUUUGAUUUCAUUUCUAUGUUAUAUUUUUUUUUGUUUAAUUGUAUUUAUGUUUCUAUUUAUGUAUUCAGUCUUUUUUAUCUUCUCAAAUUUUAUUUUUUAUUUUUGUUUUUAUUUUUUAUUCCUUUUUUGAGUUUUUUUAAUUUUUUUAUGUUUUUACUUUUUUUAUGAUCUCAAUUUUUAUUCUAUUUCAAUUAAUAAUUCUAUUUCAAGUUUUUAUUUUUAUUUUUGUUUUAGUUUUUUUAAUUUUUUUUAUAUAAAUUUCUAUUUUUAUUUUUUUCGUUGUUAUUUUUAUAUUCUGAUUAUAUAUUUUAGUUCCUGUUUUUUUUUUUUAUGAAUCUAUUCCUAUUUCAAUUUUUAGUUUAUAAUUCUAUUUUUAAUUUUAAUUUUUUUUUUUUUGUUCAGUUUCUAUUUCUGUUUUUAUGGAUAUUUUUCUAUUACCUGUUUCUAUUCUUGUUUUUUUAUUUUUUCUAUGUUCUCUUUUUUUUAUUUUUUGUUCUUAGUUUUAUUUCAAUUUCUAUUUAUAGUUCUUAAUUUUUAAUAUUUAUUUCUAUUUUCUUUUUUAUUUUCAAUUUGAAUUUGAAUUUGAAUUUUUUAUUUCUAUUUUUCAUUUUUAUAGGUUUCUGUUUGUUUUUUAUUUUCAGUUUCCAUUUCUAUUUUCUGUUUUUAGUUUUAUUUCUAUUUUCAUUUAUGAUUUUCAUUUUUUGUUUUAUUUGUUUUUGUAAUUUUUUUCUGCUUUCAAUUUUUAUUAUUUAACUUCUAUUUAUGUUUUCAGUUUUUUUAAUGUUCGCAUAUUUUAUUUUCUCUUUCUCUUUUUGAUUUUUUGUUUUUAUUUUUUUGUUUUUGUUUUUAUUUUCUAUUUUUAUUUUUAAUUCUUUAUUCUUUACAUCUUUUCUUUUUUUAUUUCUGUUUUUUAAUUUAAUUUCUGUUUCUACUUUUGUUUUUGUUUUUUUAAAAUUUUUUUUGGUUAAUUUUAUGUUUUCUGUUUUUCUGUUUUACAUUUAAAUCUGUUUUUCGUUUUUUUUUUAGUUUUAGGGCUUUAUUUUAAUUUUAAGUUUCUAUUUCUUCUUUUUGGUUUAUGUUUUUAUUUUCAGUUUUAUUUACAGUUUUUAUUUUUUUAUCUUUUUUUAUUUCUUUUUUGUGUUUUAGUUUGCAAUUUAUUUUUUUUUAGUUUUUUUAUAUGAUCUUAGUUUUAUUUUUUAUUUUCAGUUUAUAUUUCUAGAUUUGUUUUUAGUUUUCAGUUUUCAGUUUUAAUUUUUGGUUUUAUUUUUUAUUUUCUAUUUCUUUGUAUUUCUGUUUUUGUUUUUUGUAUCUUUUUUUAAUUUUAAUUUUAAUUUUUGUUUUCUUUUCUAUUUCUAUUCUCUAUUUUUAUUUUUAUUUUCUGGUUUUAGUUUAUAUUUUUUACAUUUUUAUUUUUAAUUUCUAUCGUUUUCAUUUCUGUUUUGA
rnacentral:lncRNA from 1 species